rnacentral:rRNA from 1 species
UGUGACGGCGUGCCUUUUGUAGAAUGAGCCAGCGAGUCGCUGGCGCGGGGCGAGGUUAACCGAAAGGGAGCCGGAGCGAAAGCGAGCCUUAACAGGGCGACUUGAGUCCCGCGCCGCGGACGCGAAGCCGGGUGAGCUAUCCGUGGGCAGGCUGAAGCGGGGGUAAGACCCCGUGGAGGGCCGAACGCACGUCGGUUGAAAACGGCGGCGAUGACCUGCGGAUAGGGGUGAAAGGCCAAUCAAACCCGGAGAUAUCUCGUUCUCCCCGAAAUAGCUUUAGGGCUAGCGUCGCGCGUUCACCGCCGGAGGUAGAGCACCGGAUGGACGAGGGGGCUUCGCCGCCUACCGAAUCCAACCGAACUCCGAAUGCCGGCGGCCCAGAGCGCGGCAGUCAGAGCAUGUGGGCUAAGCUGUGUGCUCGAGAGGGAAACAGCCCGGACCGCCCGCUAAGGUCCCCAAGUUCCAGCCGAGUGGCAAAGGAUGUGCGUCCGCCCAGACAACCAGGAUGUUGGCUUAGAAGCAGCCAUCCAUUCAAAGAGUGCGUAACAGCUCACUGGUCGAGUGGACAUGCGCCGACAAUACACGGGGCUAAGCUGGACACCGAAGCGGCGGGAUUUUAAUUCAUUAGAAUCGGUAGGGGAGCUUCCCAUGGGCGGAGAAGCCGGAGGGCGACCGACGGUGGAGCGCAUGGGAGUGAGAAUGCUGGCAUGAGUAGCGAGAGACGAGAGAGUAACUCGUCCGCCGUGAACCCGAGGUUUCCUGGGCAAGGCUAAUCCUCCCAGGGUCAGUCGGGGGCUAAGGCGAGGCCGGGAGGCGUAGCCGACGCGCAGCAGGCAGACAUUCCUGCACCGCGCACGCGGCGCUACGACCGACGGGGCGACGGAUGGGGGUGGCUCGGCGGGGUUCUGGACGUCCCCGUGAUGGAGCGCGGCCCGCGGACCAGGGAAAUCCGGUCCGCACGAGGGCGAGGCUCCGGACGAAGCGACUGAGCGAAGCGAGUGAGCCCGAGGUCCCUAGAAAAACCCCUAGGCAGGCGCGUGCGCGCCCGUACCGCAAACCGACACAGGUGGGUGGGUAGAACAUACCGAGGCGAUCGGGUCAACCAUGGUCAAGGAACUCGGCACAAUGGCCCCGUAACUUCGGGAGAAGGGGUGCCCGCGCGUACGUGAACCGGCUUGCCCGGGGAGCGGAGGCGGGCCGCAGUGGAGAGGCCCAAGCGACUGUUUACCAAAAACACAGGACUCUGCAGAAGCCGCAAGGCGACGUAUAGGGUCUGACGCCUGCCCGGUGCCGGAAGGUCACGCGGAGGAGUUAGCCGCAAGGCGAAGCCCCGAAGCCAAGCCCCGGUAAACGGCGGCCGUAACUAUAACGGUCCUAAGGUAGCGAAAUUCCUUGUCGGGUAAGUUCCGACCUGCACGAAAGGCGCAACGACUUGGGCGCUGUCUCGACCAUGGACCCGGUGAAAUUGCACUGGUCGUGAAGAUGCGACUUACCCGCGGAAGGACGGAAAGACCCCGUGAACCUUCACUGCAGCUUGGCAUUGGCCGCUGGUCCCGCGUGUAGAGGAUAGGCAGGAGGCACAGAUCCGGAGGCGCCAGCCCCCGGGGAGCCGCCCUUGGAAUACUGCCCUCGCGCGACCGGCGUCCUAACCCGAGGCCGUCAACCGGCUCGGGGACCGUGCCAGGCGGGCAGUUUGACUGGGGCGGUCGCCUCCUAAAGGGUAACGGAGGCGCGCGAAGGUCCGCUCGGGACGGUCGGCAACCGUCCUUUUGAAUGCAAGAGUACAAGCGGGCUUGACUGCGAGGCCCACAAGCCGAGCAGGUGCGAAAGCAGGCUCUAGUGAUCCGGCGGCCCCGAGUGGGUGGGCCGUCGCUCAACGGAUAAAAGGUACUCCGGGGAUAACAGG